AUUGACAAGAAUUACAGUGUAAAUGCAAACAUUUUGAAGAUCUUCAUACAAAAGUUACUAAACCAAAGAACAUUUUAUACUUCAUUGUACUCAGUUAUUAUCAGUUAUAAAUAAGAAUAGAAAUCGUGUUGUCAAAUUGUUCAGGUGAAGUUAUAAGCAAUAUUUCUAUUGAAAAUGACACCUAAGAAAGUGGAAAAAAAAGAUCUAAAGGAUUAACGUUAUAUAAUAUUCACGAUAGUCUGGAUGAAUUGCUACCUGUUCUUGAUGCUGUGUUUGCGAACCCGCAUCAAAAUUAUACUUAUAUGAAAUACUUUUUACUAUUAAAUCGAGAAUUAGGGUUUAUUACGCUUGAUAUCCUGCAAGACAUUUAUUAUGACGGGAGUUCUUUACAUUUUCCCGGUCCAAUAUGUGAAAUAUAAGAUGAAUGGAUCUUACGCCUAUUUAUGAAGAAAUUCAACCUUUCACGCGACGAGGCUAUAGCACAUCUAAAAGCGCAAGCAGAUGAUGAUUGAAUUAUAGGUAUAAAGUUUUUUGUUAUGGAUUAAAGUUUUUCUAAAGGCGAAUCGAAAAAAACUAUUACCAAUAUUAUU